GCAAACUUGGUCAUUUAGAGGAAGUAAAAGUCGUAACAAGGUCUCCGUUGGUGAACCAGCGGAGGGAUCAUUACUGAGUGUUAAAACUCCCAAACCCUAUGUGAACAUACCUCUGUUGCCUCGGCGGGGCGAUUCGACCGCGGGAGGACCUACCCUGUACUUACCCUGUAGACCUUACCCUGUAAGACCUACCCGGUAACUUACCCUGUAGUAGUCCGACUGCGGCGGAUGGCCCUGCCAGAGGACCACUGAAACUCUGAAUUUUUGGCACGUCUGAGUAACUGUAUAAAUAAGUUAAAACUUUCAACAACGGAUCUCUUGGUUCUGGCAUCGAUGAAGAACGCAGC
rnacentral:misc_RNA from 1 species